CCCGGCCGCCCUUUGCAUCUUGGGGACCCUCCUGGCUCUGGGGGCGACAGAGACCGGCUCCAGCUGUUGGAAUUUGGGGCCCCUCGCCCGGCGGUGCCGGAAAGCCGCCUGCCCCCCACCUUGCCGGAGCGGGGGGCCAUGCCGGACCCCCCCUGCCUUCCUCACCCCCUGUUGCCAGCGAGCUGCCCCCCCCCCCG